rnacentral:rRNA from 1 species
GACGAACGCUGGCGGCGUGCUUAACACAUGCAAGUCGAACGGAAAGGCCCUGCUUUUGUGGGGUGCUCGAGUGGCGAACGGGUGAGUAACACGUGAGUAACCUGCCCUUGACUUUGGGAUAACUUCAGGAAACUGGGGCUAAUACCGGAUAGGAGCUCCUGCUGCAUGGUGGGGGUUGGAAAGUUUCGGCGGUUGGGGAUGGACUCGCGGCUUAUCAGCUUGUUGGUGGGGUAGUGGCUUACCAAGGCUUUGACGGGUAGCCGGCCUGAGAGGGUGACCGGCCACAUUGGGACUGAGAUACGGCCCAGACUCCUACGGGAGGCAGCAGUGGGGAAUAUUGCACAAUGGGCGGAAGCCUGAUGCAGCAACGCCGCGUGCGGGAUGACGGCCUUCGGAUUGUAAACCGCUUUCGCCUGUGACGAAGCGCGAGUGACGGUAAUGGGUAAAGAAGCACCGGCUAACUACGUG